UACGGGGGGGGCAAGCGUUGUUCGGAAUUACUGGGCGUAAAGGGCUCGUAGGUGGCCAACUAAGUCAGACGUGAAAUCCCUCAGCUUAACUGGGGAACUGCGUCUGAUACUGGAUGGCUUGAGUUUGGGAGAGGGAUGCGGAAUUCCAGGUGUAGCGGUGAAAUGCGUAGAUAUCUGGAGGAACACCGGUGGCGAAGGCGGCAUCCUGGACCAAUACUGACGCUCAGGUGCGAAAGCGUGGGGAGCAAACAGG
rnacentral:rRNA from 1 species